GACGAACGCUGGCGGCGUGCUUAACACAUGCAAGUCGAACGGAAAGGCCCUGCUUUUGUGGGGUGCUCGAGUGGCGAACGGGUGAGUAACACGUGAGUAACCUGCCCUUGACUUUGGGAUAACUUCAGGAAACUGGGGCUAAUACCGGAUAGGAGCUCCUGCUGCAUGGUGGGGGUUGGAAAGUUUCGGCGGGUGGGGAUGGACUCGCGGCUUAUCAGCUUGUUGGUGGGGUAGUGGCCUACCAAGGCUUCGACGGGUAGCCGGCCUGAGAGGGUGACCGGCCACAUUGGGACUGAGAUACGGCCCAGACUCCUACGGGAGGCAGAAGUGGGGAAUAUUGCACAAUGGGCGGGAGCCUGAUGCAGCAACGCCGCGUGCGGGAUGACGGCCUUCGGGUUGUAAACCGCUUUCGCCUGUGACGAAGCGUGAGUGACGGUAAUGGGUGAAGAAGCACCGGCUAACUACGUG
rnacentral:rRNA from 1 species